rnacentral:rRNA from 1 species
GUAGGUGGCAAGCGUUGUCCGGAAUUAUUGGGCGUAAGGCGCGCGCAGGCGGUUCUUUAAGUCUGAUGUGAAAGCCCACGGCUCAACCGUGGAGGGUCAUUGGAAACUGGAGAACUUGAGUACAGAAGAGGAAAGCGGAAUUCCACGUGUAGCGGUGAAAUGCGUAGAGAUGUGGAGGAACACCAGUGGCGAAGGCGGCUUUCUGGUCUGUAACUGACGCUGAGGCGCGAAAGCGUGGGGAGCAAACAGGGAUUAGAUACCCUGGUAGUCCACGCCGUAAACGAUGAGUGCUAAGUGUUAGGGGGGUUUCCGCCCCCUUAGUGCUGCAGCUAACGCAUUAAGCACUCGCCUGGGGAUACGGCCGCAAGGCUG